GCAGGAGUAGCGAAGUGGUCAAACGCGCGAGACUCAAGAUCUCGUGGCUUAGUGCCUUCGGAGGUUCGAAUCCUCUCUCCUGCA
rnacentral:tRNA from 1 species